GUCCCGCCUGAAGUUCCGCUGUGGGAGCCUCGGAAGCUGGGUUCCGAGUUAGAAACCGCAUUCCGAACCCACUGAAUCGAGACUCUCCGAGAAGGAAUGGAUAACAAGGGAACAGCUACGGAAUCAGAAAGCAAGCUCAACUCUUAACAUGUUCUUGUGCUGGUUUGGCUUUUGUUCUGUUGUUGUUGUUGUUGUUGUUGUUGUUGGCUAUUGUUCUGUUGUUGUUGUUGUUGUUGUUGUUGUUGUUUUUCCCCUAAGGACCAAGCACGGUGUUUUUGAAUGGACGUUUCUGGAUUUUGAUAGAUCUGAGAGGCUGCCCGGGUGAGGAAACCGAGGCUGAACAAAGGUUAUUGUUGAGAAAUCACACAGGCAGUGAAUGGUAGAAUGGACUGAGACUGGAGCCCCAGUGUUGACUCAGCCAUUGACACGCAAGCCUGCUUAUACUGUCUCACUUUUACAAAUCAUGAAUAAAAAUAAGAAAUGAAUAUUUCAGGCAGGCACUGGAAUUCACAACUUAGAAGACAAACGUCUUCUCUUAUGAUGAUCCACAUAAUAAAAAAGACUCAAGAAGAAGAUCCACUGUCACUCUUACUGGCAAGCCCCAUGCCCAGGAGGAGACCAGGAGCGCAAGACCAGCUCGAUGACAUUUUCGUUUUGUCCCAUUCCAAUUCGUGUCCAUUGACUCAUUUCACUACUAUUUCUUAGAUGCUUGUUUUCUAUGAGAGAAGGGUGUGAUUAGGGUGGGAGGGGAGAGGGGAAGAGAUGGGGGAGGAGAAACUGUCAUCAGAAUGUACUGUAUCGAAAAGAAAACCAACAACCUAUUUUCAAUAAAAAUAAAAGGGGGAGAGAAA